rnacentral:rRNA from 1 species
UGUAUUAGCGGCGGAGGGUGAGUACACGUGGGUAACCUGCCUGUAAGACUGGGAUAACUCCGGGAAACCGGAGCUAAUACCGGAUAGUUCCUUGAACCGCAUGGUUCAAGGAUGAAAGACGGUUUCGGCUGUCACUUACAGAUGGACCCGCGGCGCAUUAGCUAGUUGGUGAGGUAACGGCUCACCAAGGCGACGAUGCGUAGCCGACCUGAGAGGGUGAUCGGCCACACUGGGACUGAGACACGGCCCAGACUCCUACGGGAGGCAGCAGUAGGGAAUCUUCCGCAAUGGACGAAAGUCUGACGGAGCAACGCCGCGUGAGUGAUGAAGGUUUUCGGAUCGUAAAGCUCUGUUGUUAGGGAAGAACAAGUGCAAGAGUAACUGCUUGCACCUUGACGGUACCUAACCAGAAAGCCACGGCUAACUACGUGCCAGCAGCCGCGGUAAUACGUAGGUGGCAAGCGUUGUCCGGAAUUAUUGGGCGUAAAGGGCUCGCAGGCGGUUUCUUAAGUCUGAUGUGAAAGCCCCCGGCUCAACCGGGGAGGGUCAUGG